CAUCAUUCUUGACGUAUUUCCAAAAAUUCUACAGAAGGAAGGGCCAAGAAGAGAGAGCUGUCCACAGUGGUGGUGCUCAGAUGUACAGCAAGAGGACCAAGCAGGGAUGCCUGUGGGUACCUGAGCUCUACGUCUGAAACGGCUUUGGGUGAACUUCUGGUCUUCUGUCAGGUCCUCAACUGGGUCUGGCAAAGACCAGGCACAAUCAGAGCUAAGGAGCUGUGGGAAAGGCUGGAGAACACAGCUGAGCCUCCCUGGAACCACGCUCCCGAGGCAGGCCCAGCACAGGGAGGCUCAAUGAAUGGAGCACGACUGCCACAGGGAAUUGGCCCCAUCCCCUCUUCCCCCUUCUCCCUGGGGAUGUCCACAGGGGAUGGGAUGGGGCCAAGAUCACUGGCCCUCAACCCAGCUCUGCCACUCGCCUGCCCACACCGGCUGGAACUUCUCCAUCUUUUCAGGAGGCCAUUUUGGGCCAGCCCCAGGGCCUUCCUCUUCCUCCUCCUUCACCCAGGCCUGCCCAGGAACACUGGAGGGUUUCCCUCUGCCAUCCUGCUGCCUGGUCUUGAGGGCUCUGGACAUGGGGGCAGGAGAAAUCUACAGAAAACACAAGGUCAGCAAGAAGGAAGGUGGCUGCUCGGGGGAUCCUCACAGAGUCCUGUGCUGCUUCAUCGUGUCCUUUUCCUGUUACAUCCUUCAGGCACUGUGGGUGUUGCUGCCAGCACCCAUUUCAUGGUGGGUAGUUAAAAGCCCUGUGACACACAUGUGGCAUCCCAUCAGCAGCAUCUAUGUCACAGUAUGUCACAAAGGGCCCUGAAACCACAAGUGACCUGGUGCCACUCCCCCAUCCCCUCAGUGCCUCCCAGUAGCCCAGUUUUCAGGGCCACCCAACAUUUUGGUAUCUUUAGUAAUGGUGGAGAUGUUUUAUAUGUUUCCUGAAGAGAUAUCAAAUGAGUAAUAGUAUUUCUAAAGCAGUUAGUGGUGAUUUCAGUCCUAAGCUUAGGUCCAGAAUGUCUUCAAGUUCCUCUGAUAAGAAGACAUUCUUUACUGAAGGACAGCAAACAUAUGACAUGAUGUUCUGAGUUUAUGAAAUGUCCUGGUGCCCAGUACUUCCCUGACAUGAGCUGCAAGAUGCAGAUGGCCAAGGUGAUAUUCCUGGACAAGAAGAGGGAGAUGUAUCUUCCAUUGCUCGGCAAGAAGUUUUUCCAGCAAGCAGAAGGACGCAGGAGGGCACUUGAACCCCAGGAGCCCUGCAGAAUUUGUCUGCCUCUCUCAGGCAGUUUGUGUGUCACUGAUAAACACACAGGCUCACAGCCACACAUCUGGAUGAGGAAUAGUCCAUACCACUUAAAGUCCACGCACAGUAUUCCAAAAUCACUUCUGAGCUACCUUAGGCAGUGACAAAACGAUCUGUGACAGCAGCCAGAACAAGAUGUGAUUAUUACUGAAAACUCCCACUAAUCCCAGUUUUGUUCCUUUGCCACAGCACUCACCAGAAUAUUUCAUCAUGACCUUUAGUCCUCCUCGAGCUACCUAAGCAACAAAUCCCACUUCCCCUUGGCAGAGUCACAGACAGCCUGAAUGGGCAGAGAUGAUGAGAAUUUCUUCCACUUGAGGUACCUGGGCUCUUAAAUGUCCCUGACACACUUCCACUAGCUCAGCUCACUUCAGCGAGGAUAACAAUCCUGGCAGACAGGGUGACUCCAACCAGGGCAUCACCACUUCAGGUUUAACAAGUCUUGUGCAGUCAUCAUACAGAACAGUUCAUGGAGAUAUUCAGCUGAGGCUGGGGAAUGUACAGAGAGAUUUUAGGCAGGGGGGAGCAGCACAGAACAGCUUGAAGCGGUGUUUGCGGACAAAACAAAUCCAAGUGAGGAAGCAGAGAAAGAGGCAGAAGUUGCCUUUAAAGUUCAGCAAAGAACAAUUUCACACCAAGUUCAUCCCAAAACUGACGUGCAUUUUCAGAGCAGUUACCAUGACUUUUCGCAUGACUUUUCGGUUUGCAGUUUUGUUUUUUGUAUAAAAGACUUUAUGUUCUCUCUUGUUACACUCUGAAGUCCAGAGACUAAGGUGGCCCCCUAAGCAUUGGUUUCAAAUUCACGAGUCAAAAGCAUGGCUACUCUGUAGCUGGUGUUUCAGGAAGAUUGCUUUGACUGAGGGAUUCUACCUCCUAUGCAAAAAUUUUUAGUUAUGUCAAAGUAAAAUUUGGAGUCUAGGUGUUCCUACACUGGGUUAAGACCACACCUGUAAAAAGGAAGAAAAUGAACAAGAUUCUCUUUUCCAUUCUGUAGACAAGGAAUCCAGUAAGUAUAUGCUAAAUUCAAUGACAUAACUUGUUUCCCAGGAAUCUGUUUGCCAGGAAUUUCUCACUUUUAUCACCCAUGUAAGUCCAAAUACAAGUAAAUUGGUCAGAAAAAUACA